UACGAAGGGGGCUAGCGUUGCUCGGAAUCACUGGGCGUAAAGCGCACGUAGGCGGAUUGUUAAGUCAGGGGUGAAAUCCUGGAGCUCAACUCCAGAACUGCCUUUGAUACUGGCGAUCUUGAGUCCGGGAGAGGUGAGUGGAACUGCGAGUGUAGAGGUGAAAUUCGUAGAUAUUCGCAAGAACACCAGUGGCGAAGGCGGACUCACUGGCCCCGGUACUGACGCUGAGGUGCGAAAGCGAUGGGGAGCAAACAGGG
rnacentral:rRNA from 1 species